GGCAUUGUACAAAAUCUACUGUACAAAACCUUUGAUCUCACACAAGAAUGUUUCCAGUGGAAUACAGUUUUUGGAUGAUAAAAAAAGAAUACUAC